UACUUUGGGAUCAGUAUUUUAAGGGGGGUUUUCUAGUGUAAUUUUAGUCAGUUUUUUUAAUCCAUAGAUAAGUUAUCUAUUUAAUUAAUUUAUAUAAGGUCAUUUCUUAUUUAAUAUAAAUUUAGGUAUUUAUUGAAGGGAUUUCUAGUUAAUUAGGCCAAUGGUUGUUAGGAUUAUGAUGGGAAUAGGCAAAGGUGGGGGAGGGGUAAAACAAACAAACAAUAGGAUUAGAUACUAACCUUAAUCACAGAUACUUACCUUAAUUACCACCUGGGGAUCUCAGCAGACCAGAUUUAAACCCCUUCCAGACAGGGCAAGUUAGUCAAUCCUCUGAUGAAGGCCUGCUAGGAGGCUGAAAUGGUUGUCUGACCAUUACCUUUCAUCAUUGUAUCUUUUUUUAAUUUUAUUAUGAUCAACCUUAGUUUGUUUUUUAGGCUUGGACUGUCUGGAUGUUAUUAUCCCUGCCCAAACACCAGAAUCUAUGGACACCGGAGAAGAGGAAGGAAUGUCAUUAAUUACGGUGGUGUAUUUGACCGGAUGUUUCUGAAAAAUUAACUGAGCAGCAAGACUAUUAUCGCAACCUUGGCCACCAAGAUUCAGUCCCUGCAAGUCCAGGUGGAGGAACACAGGACAGAGCUCACCAAGCACAUGUGGCUCUCCACCAGAACCAGUUGUGGCCUCUGUACCAGGUAUUGGUGCUGUGCUGAGCCAAAGCAUCGAUGGUGUUGAACAUUGGUUAAUGUUUCAGAGCUGAAAACUGCUGAACUGGGAACCCUGGUUAUGUGUCUGUAGAACAAGAGGCUCUAGCAAUGAAGAGAGCAGUUACCCAACUGUUAAUGACUUUAAAUUUCAUUGAUUCCUUUGGUCUUAUUCAGUCUGUCAUCACCCCAACCCGUGAACAUAGUCAUAUAAUUGACUUAGUUUUGUCAAUUGGUAUUUCUGUUUGUAAUUUUGAAGUCACUGUAAAAUGUUUCUGUGAUAAUUUUCCUGUUUUAUUUGAUAUCGCGGUUCCUGUUACAAUGUAUAAACCUCUUAAUCCUGUUUAUCACUCUCAGCUGUUUACUUGAUAUACUGCUGGUCAGUUUUCUAUUUUUUUUUUUUUUUUAAUGUUGCUACUCAGGAGUGCCCCUUGUUGAAUUCUUUUUUUUCUUCUGAAUUAUGUGUUGAUGAUUUGAUUUCACAAUACAAUUCUUUCUGUUUAGCUAUUCUUUACACUGUCGUUCCACUAACAAAUUAGGCACACUAUGUCUACAUCCCAACCAGGGUCCCAGGCAUGAAUUUAGAAGAGCAGAACAAAAAUGGAGAAAAGACUUCAGGUGUCUGAUAUUAUCAAAGGUUUACUCACUACAUAUCAAGAAGUGGUGAAAGUGGCAUGUAAUCUACAGUAUACUUCGCUAAAAUCAUCGCUAAUAAAGGUCAUAGUUUACAUUUAUUGUUUAAAAUGAUUAACAGUACUCUUAAUCCUAUUUCCACUUACUGUUAGCUUCUUAAGUUUGUGAUGAGUUUUUGAACUUUUUGUUGGUAAAUUUAAAGCAGCUAAACCCCUAAUUUUAUCACCUGUCAUUGACCCAUUUUUCCUCUUUGUGCUUGACUGUUUUUAUAACCAAUUUGAGCCUUUGAACUUGACCACCUUAGGAAAACUGAUUAAUCAGUUAAAGCCAUCUUUUUACUCUACUGAUAUACAGUAUUACCUCCAUCUUCUUUCAAAGAGAUGUUUAAUGUGGUAGGGGUUUACAUUUUAGAAAUUAUAAAUCGCUUUUUAUCUGGGGUUGCCCCUCAUUAUAUUAAGUUUGUGUUUGUUAAUCCACUGUUAAAGCCCAGUUUGGACCCCACUGUUUUGACAAAUUAUUGACAAAUUUCUAAUUUCAAAAUUUUAAUGUUGGUGCUCUUUCCUACUUAACAUUUUAGUACCCUUAGAUCUGCCGAUCAGUGCACAGAGUGGUGAGCAGGAGCUAUGUGAAAGCUGAAGGG